UUACAUAUGUUUCCUGGUUUGCUCUUGGAGGGCUUGCUGCAGCAGGCAAGAGUUACAUCAACUCUGCAGCUGUUCGUAAAGGCGUUGAAUUUCUGUUACGAAGACAAAGGUCUGAUGGUGGUUAGGGAGAAAGCUACCAUUCUUGUCCUGACAAGGUUGAUAGAGAUCCAAGACCCCUCCACCGUGCGGCUAGGCUUUUGAUUAAUUCUCAAAUGGAAGAUGGUGACUUCCCACAACAGGAAAUAACUGGAGUUGUCAUGAAGAAUUGCAUGUUGCACUAUGCAGCAUAUAGAAAUAUAUUUCCCUUGUG